rnacentral:lncRNA from 1 species
CUACGGAACAAUGGCUGAGGCAAUGUGGUAUUUAGAGUUUAGAACUCGGGCGACGCCAAUCGCGCAUUCGCAUUGAGGGCGACCUUCAAGGGCUGCGAGUCAGGGUAUUUAUCGGAGUGUGGGCAAUGGGCGACGUGUCUGAGCGCACUCUGCACCUGGUGGUGCUCCUGGCCUUCGCCUCCGGGGUGCUGGUGGGCUGGCAGUCUAACCGGAUCCGCAGGAGGUACCUGGACUGGAGGAAGAAGAGUUUACAGAGCAGACUGGCGGAGACCCAGAAGAAGCUGGACCUCUCAUGAAGAGCCCGUGCAGUGAGUGUACAUGGAGACACUAUUAUCUGAUUAUAGCUGCAGGCAGAGCAUGUAACCAUCAAUGAGGGAUGCUCACUGAACAUCUGUUUUUAGUGAUUUGUAGAAAGUACUGACUAGGAAACUGAUAACCAAGUCUGCUCUCCAAAGCCCUAAAGCUGAAGUUGUUUAGGGGUUAACAGCGAGUGUCACCUCUUUCUUACUUUUUUAAAGUGUUGGUUUAUCUUGAAAUUGGCAUUUAAAAAAAAAAAAUUAGGUUCUGGGUUACACCUUUCCAUCAUCCAGAAGGGUGCCCUUACUAACGCUUUGAAUGUGAGCUUUAAAAAAACACUAUGGUGUCAGGGAUACAAACUUGUAUUUAUGACACUGUAGUUGUAAUAUUAUUAUUAUUAUUAUUAUUAUUAUUAUUAUUAUUAUUAUUAUUGCCAUUUAUAUAGCGCCAACAGAUUCCGUAGUGCUUUACAAUAUUUUGAGAGGGGGGAUGUAACAAUAAAUAGGACAAUUACAAGAAAACUUACAGGAACAAUAGGUUGAAGAGGACCCUGCUCAGAUGAGCUUACAGACUAUAGGACAGUGAUGGCGAACCUAUGGCACGCGUGCCACAGGUGGCACGCCGAGCCCCCUCUGUGGGCACGCGGCCAUAGGUCGCCGGAGGGAGGGUGCGCUCCGCCGGCGCAUCCAUAAGGCGGCACAAGUGGCCGCCUUAGGGUGCACCAGCCCGGCGGGCGCAAAGCCACAGUGACCGGCAGGAGGUGAGCGCAUAGCGCUCCCUCCUGCCAGACACUCUGUGUAGCGUGGCCGAGCGCACCGCGGUACAGGAACUUAUGUUUCCUGUACCCGGGCGGCUGGAAAUGAAGUGCUCACAGAGAGAGCACUUNNNNNNNNNNNNNNNNNNNNNNNNNNNNNNNNNNNNNNNNNNNNNNNNNNNNNNNNNNNNNNNNNNNNNNNNNNNNNNNNNNNNNNNNNNNNNNNNNNNNGAUAUGGGGGGGAAACUGAGGGAGAGAUAUGGGGGGAAGCUGAGGGAGAGAGAUGGGGGGAAACUGAGGGAGAGAGAUGGGGGGAAACUGAGGGAGAGAGAUGGGGGGGAACUGAGGGAGAGAGAUGGGGGGAACUGAGUGGGAGAGAGAUGGGAGGGGAAACUGAGUGGGAGAGAGAUGGGAGGUGAAACUGAGUGGGAGAGAUGGGAUGGAAACUGAGGGAGAGAUGGGACGGAAACUGAGGGGGAGAGUUAUGGGGGGGAACUGAGGGAGGUAUAGGGGGAGAAAACUGAGUGUGGGACGGGGAGGGGGACACACACAGCAAUUCUGCCCUGCCACAUCACACAAUGACACAUCACCUCACCUAAUACGUCACACAUAAAAUGUACCUCAAUGCAGUGUGGUGGCAUCGGUAAAACUGUUCAGGUGCAUAUCGGCAGUUCGCCCAGGUGCUAACACUGCAGUCUGCCCAGGUGCACACUGGCAGUUCGUCUGUGGUGAUCGGCACAGCCAGGUGCACACUCGGCAGUCUGCCUGUGUGUGCACACUCGGCAGUCUGCCUGUGUGUGCACACUCGGCAGUCUGCCUGUGUGUGCACACUCGGCAGUCUGCCUGUGUGUGCACACUCGGCAGUCUGCCUGUGUGUGCACACUCGGCAGUCUGCCUGUGUGUGCACACUCGGCAGUCUGUGUGUGUAGACAGACUGCUAAGUACACACACAGAGAUGUUAAUUAGUUCGGACAACUGUAUGAGUUGUUUUUUCGAAACUUAAACCUCAGUAUUCAGGUUUAAAUGCCGUUUUGGCACUUUGAGGGAAAAAAAAUUGGCAUGUAUUACGUUUUGGGCACUCGGGCUCAAAAAGGUUCGCCAUCACUGCUAUAGGAGGUGGGGUAUUUGAAACAUUAGGACAAGAAAUAUCAAGUAGGAGUGAAGCAGAGCUGGAGGAGAGAGCAAAGCACUGUCCCAUAGGAGAGAGCAGGAGACAGGUAUGUAACGUUGAGAUUACUCUGGGAGGCCAUACGCUUUCCUGAAGAGAUGGGGUUUUAAGGCCCUUCUUAAAUGAUUGAAGACUAGGGGAGAGUCUGAUGGCAGUAGGCAAGCUAUUCCAUAGGAGAGGAGCCGCCCGCGAGAGGUCCUGCAAGCGCGAGUUGGCCGUACGGGUGCGAGCAGUGGUCAGGAGGUGGUCACGGGCAGAGCGGAGGGUACGAGGAGGGGCAUUUCUAUGGAUUAGUGAAGAGAUAUAAGUGGGGCUAGAAUUGUUCAGUGCUUUAAAUGUAUGGGUUAGCACUUUGAAUUGACUCCUAUAGCAUACAGGGAGCCAAUGUAAGGACUGGCAGAGGGGUGAGGUGUGAGGUGUGAGAGGACCGACUAGAGAGGAAAAUCAGUCUAGCUGCAGCAUUCAUUACAGACUGUAGCGGGGCAAUACGGCUUUUGGGGAGACCAAUCAGGAGAGGGUUAUAGUAAUCCAUGCGGGAAAUUACUAGAGCAUGGACAAGCUCCUUGGUAGCAUCUUGCGUAAGAAAGGGGCGAAUGCGGGCUAUGUUUUUGAGUUGGAGCCUACAGGACUUGGCAACAAACUGGAUGUGAGACUCAAAGGUGAGACCAGAGUCAAGUAUGACGCCAAGACAGCGCGCUUGCAGGGAUGGACUUAUGUGGAUAUCACUGACUUGAAGGGAGAGCGAGAGAGGAGGAUCAAUAUUAGGAGGAGGAAAGACAAGGAAUUCAGUUUUAGAGAGGUUGUUUCAGAAAGCGUGAGGACAUCCAGUCAGAGAUGGAAGAAAGGCAAGCAGUGACACGUUGCAGGACGGCAGGGGAGAGGUCCAGGGAGUAGAGGUAUAUCUGAGUGUCAUCAGCGUACAGGUGGUAGUGGAAUCCAAAAGAGGCAAUAAGUUUACCAAGAGAGGCAGUAUAAAGAGUAAAUAGAAGGGGACCAAGGACAGACCCUUGGGGAACUCCAACCGAGACAGGACGAGGGGAGGAGGUAUCCUUGGAAAAGAAGACACUGAAUGAGCGUUGGGAGAGAGAGGAGGAAAACCAAGAGAGGACAGAGUCACAUAGAUCGAGUGAUUGAAGAGUUUGAAGGAGGAGAGCAUGAUCAACGGUGUCAAAAGCAGCAGAGAGGUCAAGGAGAAUUAAUAUGGAGUAAUGACCUUUUGGAUUUAGCGGAGAUUAGGUCACUAGUCACUUUGAUAAGAGCAGUCUCAGUAGAGUGGAGAGGGCGGAAGCCAGACUGAAGAGGGUCAAGGAGAGAGUUGGAAUUAAGGAAGCGGGACACACUGGUAAAGACAAGUCUUUCCAAAAGCUUUGAUGAGAAAGGGAGCAGGGAUAUGGGACGAUAGUUAGAAGGGGAGGAUGGGUCAAGAAAUGUUUUUUUUUUUUUUUUCAGGAUAGGUAUUACAGUGGCAUUUUUAAGGUCAGCAGGAACAGUGCCAGAAGAGAGAGAGAGCAGUUAAAGAUGUGUGUUAGGGUAGGCACAAGACAAGGGGAGAGAGGUGAGAUGGGACAGGAUCGAGCGGGCAAGUGGUGGGGCGAGAGGAAUGGAGAAGCGCAGCCACCUCUUGUUCAGUAGCCAGGUAGAAAUUCUGGAGGGUAGGGAAAGCAAGAUUUACAUGUGGUUGAGAAAGAACGGCAAGGAGGGGAGAAUUGUUUCCUUAGCUGUUCAAUCUUGUUAGUAAAGUAGCAUGCAAAGCUAUCAGCUGUAAGGUUAGUUUGGGGGGUGGCUACAGCAGGGCGGAGAAGUGAAUUAAAGGUGUCAAAGAGGUGUCUGGGAUUGCGGGAGCAUGAACUAAUGAGAGAGGAAAAGUAUGACUGUUUGGCGAGGGCUGCGCUGUAUGAAAGCAACAUGAAUCUAUAAUGGAGAAAGUCUGCCUGGGUGCGGGACUUCCUCCAGGAGCGUUCAGCACAACGGGAGCAACUCUGCAGAUAGCGUGUUGAUUUAUUAUGCCAAGGUUGGGGUCGUGUCCUCCUCGAGGUGCAUGUUUUGAGUGGGGCAGCAGCGUUCAAGGCAGAUGUGAGGGUAGUGUUAUAUGUGGAGAUGGCCAGUGAGGGACAGGAGAGGGAAGGGAUGGAUAGCAGUUGUGAAUCAAUGUCAGCUGACAGCUGCUGGAGGUCAAUAGAGUUAAGGUUCCUCCUGAGCUGAGGGGGGUUAGGCUGAGAUUGUUGGGUGAAGGGGUAAUUGAGAGCAAAUGAUAAGAGGUGGUGAUCAGAGAGAGGAAAUGGGGUGUUGCAGAUAUUAGUAACAUGACUGUUUAUGUCCCCGGCGCUCUCUAUUUACUUUAAGGACCGUUUUUUUUUUUGUUUUUUUUUCGGACGUACCUCAUAUGUCCGUUGUCCUUAAGGGGUUAAAAAGGUGAGUUUACUCACCUUUUUUAACAAUGCUGGGCCAAUCGUUCGUGGUUUACUCAAUGAUGAGUCCGUGGCGAACCGUUCGGGACAUCACUAUUGAGGGACAGUCUCACCAGUGGUGUAUCCUGGUUUUGUGCUGCCCUAGGCAGGACAAAACUCAGGCGCCCCUCCCCCCGCGCCACCCCCACCCAACCCUUCCCCCCGCCCCACCUUCUAAAUACACACAGUCAGACACAAACACACACAGUCAGACACAAACACACACAGUCAGACACAAACACACACAGUCAGACACAAACACACACAGUCUUGACACAAACACACAUUGAAGUCAGACACAAAACACAGCCGACACAAACACACACACACAGUCAGACACACAAACACACACACAGUCAGACACAAAACACAGUCAGACAUGACACACAGUCAGACACAGACACACACAGUCAGACACAUACUACAGACACACACACACCAGACACAGACACACACACUCAGACACAGACACACACACUCAGACAGACACACACACUCAGACACAGACACACACAGUCAGACACACACAGUCAGACACACACAGUCAGACACACACAGUCAGACACACACAGUCAGACACACACACAGUCAGGACACACACAGUCAGACACACACACAGUCAGACACACACAGUCAGACACACACAGUCAGACACACACAGUCAGACACACACACAGUCAGACACACACACACACACAGUCAGACACACACACACACAGUCAGACACACACACAGUCAGACACACACACACAGUCAGACACAAACACACACAGUCAGACACAAACACACACAGUCAGACACACACAAACACACACAGCCUGACACAAACACACACAGUCAGACACAGACACACCAGACACAGACACACACCAGUCAGACACACACACACUCCACACACAGUCAGACACACACAGUCAGACACACACACACAGCCGUGACACACACACACACAGUCAGACACACACACACACAGUCAGACACACACACACACAGUCAGACACACACACACACAGUCAGACACACACACACACAGCCCAGACACACACACACACAGUCAGACACACACACACACAGUCAGACACAUACACACACAGUCAGACACAUACACACACAGUCAGACACAUACACACACAGUCAGACACAUACACACACAGUCAGACACACAUACACACACAGUCAGACAUACACACACAGUCAGACACAUACACACACACACAGUUGUGACACAUACACACAGUCAGUAUACAUACACACACAAAGUCAGACACAUACACACACACAGUCAGACACAUACACACACACACACAUACACAGUCAGACACAUACACAGUCAGACACAUACACAGUCAGACACAUACACAGUCAGACACAUACACAAACACACACAGUCAGACACAUACACACACACACAGUCACACACACACACACACACACACACACACACUCACAAACACUCACAAACACAGUCAGACACAAACACACACACAGUCACAAACACAGUCACACACGCACAGUCAGACACAAACACACACACACUCACAAACACACACACACAUUAACUUUUUUUAAUUUAAAUCCCCCCCCAACCUCCUUACCUUUGGAAGUGCUGGAGGGGGAGGGGGAUCUCUCUCCCUGGUGGUCCGGUGGCUGCAGGUCGGGCGGGCGGCGCUGGCAGGUGGGCGGGCGGCUGCCGAGGGAGCUCUUCCUAUGAGCACUCUGCUCAGCUCCCUCGUGCGCCGGCUGCAGAGUGAGGCUGGGGGCCGGAAGAUGACGUCAUCUUCCGGCUCCCAGCCUCACUCUGCAGCCGGUGCGCGAGGGAGCUGAGCAGAGUGCUCAUAGGAAGAGCUCCCUCGCCAGCCGCCCGCCCGCCCGACCGGGAUGUCAGUUAGCCGCAAGGCUAACUAGGCAUUUGCCCUGGGCAUUUGGGGGGCGGCGUUUUUUGCCGCCCCCUGAAAAAUGCCGCCCAAGGCAAAUGCCUUGUUUGCCUCGCGGCUAAUACGCCCCUGAGUCUCACUGUAAAUAACUUGCAACAUUUGCUAACCAUGUUGUUGUGUUUUUUUUUUUUUUUUUUUACAGAGGUCUAAAAAAAAACCUGACACUUUAAUUUUAAUGAAACUUGUUUUUCUAAUUGGUUUGUAGAAUAAAUAUAGCAUUUAACAUGUUACAAUUCUUUCUUCUUUUUUUUUUUUUUUUUUCUUGCAGCUUCAAAUGGAAAAUAAAACAUUGAAACUAACUGGAUGAGUCAUUUCAAAUUGAAGAACCAUACAAAUUUGUAUAUAUUUGUUUUUGGAGAACUGUUUACAAAUUGUAAUAAAAGUAAUUUUAUUUAACCCUUAAGGACAGAGCCAAUCGUACAAGUUCUGUUCAAAACAAACUAAACAAACCAGAGAAUUUGACUAUAUGUCUGUUAAACCAUAAAUGACCUCUUCUAUAUUAAGUGCACCCACACUUACAUAUUAUCUAUCAUUUUUUGUUCAGGAGAAAAAGAGCUUUCAUUUCACAUCAAAUGUGUGUGUAUAUACGAAACAUAUUUUAAUAUGAAUAAAAUCUAAAGUUUGAAAAAUUAAGAAAGUUUGUGAUUUUUGAAGACAACACUGAACUCAAAUAUGCGUGUAUGUCAUUUUACCUGUGAAUGCCAUAAUACUGUUUUGCUUUUACUGCAAAAAGCAAAUAAUUUAGGUGCCCUUCUCCGCUUUUACUGCAAUAAAACACACAUAUUUGUAUUCAGCAAUAUUCCACAAGUAAAGCUGUUACAGGUUUUAAGUUUCAAUAUAUAGGGCUUUCCCAUUUUACUUUUUACCUUUUUGAAAUUUGCCAGAUUGGUUAUGUUGUAUGGAGACUGUAUGGCAGCCCAGAAAUGAAAAUUACCCCCAUCAUGGCAUACCAUUUGCAAAAGUAGACAUCCCAGGGUAUUCAAAAUAGGGUAUUUCAAGUCUUUUGUAGUAGCUGCUUAGUCACAAACGCUGGGCCAUUUUUUUUUUUUUUUUUCUUUUCAUUUUUCACACAAAACUGCACUUUCACUGAUGAUAUAAUUGUCAUUUAUACAUUUUACUCAUGUUUGUGUUCAGUGAUGUCUCACGAGUACAAUGGUACCCCCAUGUAUAGGUUUUAUGGCAAUUAGAAAGUUACAGGGUCAAAUCUGGCUUGCCCAUUAAAAUUUUUACACAUUGAAAUUUGACAUUUAUUUUUUGGGGGCCUAUAUCACCUUUGAGCAAGUAUGGCAGCAUGGGUAAUAGCAUUUCCAUUAUGACGUUCCCUCCGGCUGAUCUCUCAUAUCUUGCGCCCUCAUGGGGCAAAAACAACUCAUAACAUAUAUCAAAUUCCAACUCAUGCUUUGGCAUGACAGGGGGACACAGUGCGUUGUCAUUAAAAUGAAGGAAUCGCAGCAGUUGCAGGUAGAGAUCCCUUGUUAACCACGGGGAAAAGAAGGGUAGCCAGGAUAUAAUGCUUGUGUCAGUAGGACCUGAUAUUGGGCUUUUUGAUGAUACCCAUUACUAGGGUUAAAAGCCCAAAUCACUUAAUCUAUUUUACUAUAAUGAUGCUACCAUAUGUAUUUAUACUGUGCUGUUGGUCAUCAUAAAUUUUUUUUUUUUUUUUUUUUUUUUUGCAGUGCAUAUAAAGAUAACAAACAGGCAUGGGGUACCCCAAAGGCAAUCCACAUGCACAUUUCCAGACAAUAGUUACACAGUAGUAAGAGCAUUGGGGUAUGUUGAACAGUG